rnacentral:tRNA from 1 species
GCGGAUAUGGUGAAAUUGGCAGACACGAUAGAUUUAGGUUCUAUUGCCGAAAGGUGUGCAGGUUCAAAUCCUGUUAUCCGCA